rnacentral:tRNA from 1 species
GGGCCUCUAGCUCAAUUGGCAGAGCAGCGGACUUUUAAUCCGCGGGUUGUGGGUUCGAGACCCACGGGGCCCA